UACAGAGCAGACGGGGCCAGGGAUAGACAGAGCAAGGAAUGCCGUCCGAGAAGUGGCUGGGCGUGACGUCACGAGUUUCCUGAACGUCAACAACAACCUGCAGCAUCAGAACCUGACAGCGGCGGUUCCCAGUGGGCGGUUCCCGGGGUAAGAGGAGUCGCAGUCGCUUUUUUCAGCCACCACAACCUCCCUGUAUUGUUUGAAGCCAUUCCAGCAGCGACACAGUUUAUCCUCUCGUGGUGUUUCCUGCCAAGGCUGCUUCUCUCUCAUUUAUUCACACGCGCAGAAGAAAAGCACGAGCUUAAAAAAAGUACAGGGACGCUUUCGGGGGCGAUAGGGGAACCAAUUGCUCUCCCCACGACAGCCAGGCUGAGUCACCACUGGAGAGUGGGAAGGUCUGGAGAGAGAGAACGAGAGAGAGAGAGAGAGAGAGGAGGGGGAGA